GUCUGGGAAACUGCCUGAUGGAGGGGGAUAACUACUGGAAAGCUACUACCGCAUGACAUCUUCGGACCACGGUGGGGGACCUUCGGGUCUCAUGCCAUCAGUUUUGCCCAGAUGGGAUUAGCUGGUAGGUGGGGGAGCGGCUCACCUAGGCGACGAUCACUAGCUGGUCUGAGGGGUUGACCAGCCACACUUGAACUGAGAAACGGUCCCGACUCCUAUGCGAGGCACUAGUUGGGAAUAUGCCACAAUGGUCGCAAGCAUGAUGCAGACAUGCCGCGUGGAUGCUGAAGG
rnacentral:rRNA from 1 species